GAGAAUUUAAGUUAAUUAAACUGAAAACCUUCAAAGUUUUAUAUGCUCUAUGCAAUUUUCG
rnacentral:tRNA from 1 species